CCUGCGGAAGGAUCAUUGUCGAACCCUCGCGGUAGAAUGACUUGUUAACCUGUACCAAUUAUGGAUUAGAGUGUCGUGGCGCCGUCUUUCUGAUUUGCCCAUGACGAACAAAAACACCGGCGCAGCAGCGCCAAGGAAUAUCACAAUGAGUGUGCAACCUCGCAGAGCUCAAUUCUACUGCUUGUGAGGCUGGCAUCCUUUUAAUAAAAAUGACUCUCGGCAAUGGAUAUCUCGGCUCUUGCAUCGAUGAAGAACGUAGCGAAAUGCGAUACUUGGUGUGAAUUGCAGAAUCCCGUGAACCAUCGAAACUUUGAACGCAAGUUGCGCCUCAAGCCAUUAGGUUGAGGGCACGUCUGCUUGGGUGUCAUGCAUUGUGUCUCCCCUCUCGUGUGUGGAGAGGGAAUAGAUCGUGGCCUCCUGGGCCCUUCUUUGGGUGUGGUUGGCCGAAAAUGUUGUCCUUGAUUUUGUUGAUGUCUUGGCGUGCGGUGGAUGUACCAAGUGUGCAUAAUUGCCAGCCUUGCUCGACUUCAUUGCGGCGUCGGGAUCCUAUGAAGCUGCAGCUCUUUGAUUGCGACCCC
rnacentral:rRNA from 1 species